AGAAUAUAAGAAACCGUCUCUUAACUUUUAACUAAAAAAGUUAAGAACCGGCUCUUAUACAUAUCUUAUUUAAGAACCGGUUCUUAGCUUUUUUAGUUAAAAAUUAAGAGAUGGUUUCUUAUAUUAC
rfam:Brassica oleracea var. oleracea cultivar TO1000 chromosome C5, whole genome shotgun sequence